rnacentral:lncRNA from 1 species
GAAUCUUUAAAAAAAGAUUUAGCAAGAAAUGACAGAAAUGAAUUCAUUUCAGUGAAAACCAAAAAUGAAUAGCAAUGAACAAAAGAAAAAGCUCAGACAGGAUAUGAAAAAACUCUUGAAGACAUUUCUUCUGCCUUCUCUGCAAACAGGCUCAUUCUCCUUUCACAGAUAAUCUUCCUCUUCUCCCUCCUCCAGAGGAUAGAAAAUUAUCCCCUGCCUUCCAAGCCUACACAGCACAUAUAAAUUCCCUACCAUUUAUCUGGAUAGACUGCAGGGGAAACCCUGAGACUCAAUUUCCAGGGGACAUAAUCUGAUUGUUCCACCCCACUUCAGGUGUUCACCUGGUCCAAUCAGUUACAAGCAUGGAAUUUAUGUGGUCACUUAUUUUAAAUAUGGCUGUCUGGGGCACACCUCUAUGAACUGGGGUGAUUUGUAUGGAAAAGAAGAGAUGAACAUAUGCAACUACUGGCAUUCGAGUAGGCUACAUUCUCUAAAACUUGUCACUAUUUAAAUGAAGACAUUUUUCCUGCAUGUUCCACUCCUUCGUGUCAGAUCUCAGCACCAUUUCUCCUGCUAACUAGUUUAGCUGGAAAUUUCUCCUUUUGAAGGAUAGACAAUAGGUAACCAUAGCAACUGGUUGUACAGGUAAUUGCUAUGAAACAUUGCCCAGGGGUUAGAAAGCCAUGGAGACACUCAUCCCUACAUUCAGCUAAGGCAUCAGUUCACAACCAAGAUUUUGGGAAACAAAUCAUUGAUAAGCACAUAAAUCCUGGAGACAGUGCUUUCCUUAUCUCUUGCCACAUGAUGUCCUGUCCCACAUCAGGACUUUGCCAGCAAAAAGACAAUCAUUAGAAGCUGAACCAAAGGAACCACUGCAUCUUGGACUUUAAACCUCCAGAACUGAGAGGCAAAAUAAAGCUCUUUGGUUUACAAAGUAACCUGCCUAA